GCUAACUACGUGCCAGCAGCCGCGGUAAUACGUAGGGGCGAGCGUUGUCCGGAAUCACUGGGCGUAAAGGGAGCGUAGGCGGCUCUGUAAGUCCUGCGUGAAAGGCGCCGGCUUAACCGGCGAGAGUCGUGGGAAACUGCAGGGCUUGAGUGUCGGAGAGGGUGGCGGAAUUCCCGGUGUAGCGGUGAAAUGCGUAGACAUCGGGAGGAACACCAGUGGCGAAGGCGGCCACCUGGACGGUAACUGACGCUGAGGCUCGAAAGCUGGGGGAGCAAACAGGAUUAGAUACCCUGGUAGUCCCAGCCGUAAACGAUGGGUGCUAGGUGUUGUGGGCCUUGAGCCUGCUGUGCCGUAGGACACCCAAUAAGCACCCCGCCUGGGGAGUACGGCCGCAAGGCUGAAACUCAAAGGAAUUGACGGGGGCCCGCACAAGCGGUGGAGCAUGUGGUUUAAUUCGAAGCUACGCGAAGAACCUUACCAGGCCUUGACAUCACCCGGAAGGUCGUGGAAACACGGCCGUCCUUCGGGACCGGGUGACAGGUGGUGCAUGGUCGUCGUCAGCUCGUGUCGUGAGAUGUUGGGUUAAGUCCCGCAACGAGCGCAACCCUCGCCCUUAGUUGCCAGCACCUCGGGUGGGCACUCUAAGGGGACUGCCGGUGACAAACCGGAGGAAGGUGGGGAUGACGUCAGAUCAUCAUGCCCCUUAUGGCCUGGGCUACACACGUGCUACAAUGGCCGGUACAGACGGAAGCGAAGGGGCGACCCGGAGCGAAUCCGAAAAAGCCGGUCUCAGUUCGGAUCGCAGGCUGCAACUCGCCUGCGUGAAGGCGGAAUCGCUAGUAAUCGCGGGUCAGCAUACCGCGGUGAAUACGUUCCCGGGCCUUGUACACACCGCCCGUCACACCACGAAAGCCGGAAACACCCGAAGCCGGUGUCCUAACCCGCAAGGGAGGGAGCCGUCGAAGGUGGGGCCGGUGAUUGGGGUG
rnacentral:rRNA from 1 species